rnacentral:lncRNA from 1 species
UCAUCAUGAGUUAUCUGCUUAUAUAGUAUUUUUGUUGAUUAACUGUACAUAUAACAUCCUUACUAUCACUUAGAGGCAUACUAGAUGUGAACAAAUUGAUCGGACCUAACUACUUGAACUGGUUAAGAAACUUAAGAAUUAUUCUCACUCAGGAGAAAGUCUCCUAUAUACUGAAUACACCUGCACCUGAUAUGAUCAGAAAAAAGGCAUCUG